AGUUGCAGGGGAACAACAACUCCUGCCCGCCUUGGUGGAUCCAUUUGUUUGACACUGCAAGAAUUCAAUAUGGUUAAAGCUGAUGGAAGAAAUCUCAAGGACGCGUAGUGGUUUCAAUUAUAGAAUCGAAGAUAAACUUCUAAUUUUGCAUUUACAAAGACGUAAAAUAUAAUAUUUUGACGUG